UACGUAGGAUGCAAGCGUUGUCCGGAAUUAUUGGGCGUAAAGGGUGCGCAGGCGGUUUUUCAAGUCAGAUGUGAAAUAUCCCGGCUUAACUGGGAGGGGCCAUUUGAAACUGAAAGACUAGAGUGCAGGAGAGGAUAGCGGAAUUCCCGGUGUAGUGGUGAAAUGCGUAGAUAUCGGGAGGAAUACCGGUGGCGAAGGCGGCAUCCUGGACCGACAUUGACGCUGAGGAGCGAAAGCUAGGGGAGCAAACGGG
rnacentral:rRNA from 1 species